rnacentral:misc_RNA from 1 species
GAUGAAGAACGCAGCGAAAUGCGAUAAGUAGUGUGAAUUGCAGAAUUCCGUGAAUCAUCGAAUCUUUGAACGCACAUUGCGCCCUUUGGCCAUUCCAUUGGGCAUGCCUGUUCGAGCGUCAUUUCAACCCCUCGGGCCCUGGUGCCCGGCGUCGGGGCGCUUCCCACCCCCGGGAACCCCCCAGAAGCAGUGGCGGACCCGCCGCGGCUCCGAGCGCAGUAGUUAAUAUUUCUCGCUCAGGAGGCCCGCGGGGGGACUUCGGCCGUUAAACCGGACCCUCGCGUCCACGUACACACAAAGGUUGACCUCGGAUCAGGUAGGAAUACCCGCUGAACUUAAGCAUAUCAAUAAGCGGAGGA